rnacentral:rRNA from 1 species
UACGAAGGGGGCUAGCGUUGCUCGGAAUCACUGGGCGUAAAGGGUGCGUAGGCGGGUCUUUAAGUCAGGGGUGAAAUCCUGGAGCUCAACUCCAGAACUGCCUUUGAUACUGAAGAUCUUGAGUUCGGGAGAGGUGAGUGGAACUGCGAGUGUAGAGGUGAAAUUCGUAGAUAUUCGCAAGAACACCAGUGGCGAAGGCGGCUCACUGGCCCGAUACUGACGCUGAGGUGCGAAAAGCGUGGGGGAGCAAACAGGG